UACGAAGGGUGCAAGCGUUACUCGGAAUUACUGGGCGUAAAGCGUGCGUAGGUGGUCGUUUAAGUCCGUUGUGAAAGCCCUGGGCUCAACCUGGGAACUGCAGUGGAUACUGGGCGACUAGAAUGUGGUAGAGGGUAGCGGAAUUCCUGGUGUAGCAGUGAAAUGCGUAGAGAUCAGGAGGAACAUCCAUGGCGAAGGCAGCUACCUGGACCAACAUUGACACUGAGGCACGAAAGCGUGGGGAGCAAACAGGAUUAGAUACCCUGGUAGUCCACGCCCUAAACGAUGCGAACUGGAUGUUGGGUGCAAUUUGGCACGCAGUAUCGAAGCUAACGCGUCAAGUUCGCCGCCUGGGGAGUACGGUCGCAAGACUGAA
rnacentral:rRNA from 1 species